UCCAUGAUGAAUGAUUAUAUAGAGAUAAUUCCAUCACCUUGGAGACCCAGAUCUACAGAGAUUGGUUGCUUGCCUGGAAUGUACAUUAUAGAGAGGACAUCAGGCAACUCCACAAAGAAGUGGGCAACAGACACAGGCUGCAUGAUGACCACCUGCAGAAAGAGGGGAGUCACCCUCCUUCUCCUCCCCCACCCUGCCCCAGACUCUGGUGUCCUCAUGCCUUCAGGAUUUCUUAGAGACCGGACUUGGGAUGGGGUUGUGUCUUCCUUAGUGCAUCCUGAUGCCUUUCCCCCGUGCAGGGCCAGAGUGCUUGCCAUCGUAGAGCACUGCCUUCAGAGU